UAUGGACCCAUCGGGUAACCCCUACUCAUCCAAAACUCUAAAGGAUAAUUGCUACCUUUCACCGGCUUCUCAGCCAUCUUUCUAACCCGUUCCCAAUGUUUGGAACGGAUAUUCUGUAAUGAUGCUAACACUCGAUAACCACCCCCAUGUAGUCUAACUAAAGUGGAGAAUCUUUUCACUCCAUACUUUUGACCAACGGAGAUAAGUCCAUACAAGUGACUUGUCAUCAUGCAACAUUUCAUAGAGACAGGUAAGGUACGAUAGUAACUCGUUUGACACAGAAUCGCUUUGCAAAUUCAAAAGCACCCUGUGUGGAUAUAAUAAACUUUUUGGUGGAAAUUGUCACCCCCAACUUAUCCAGAAUGUCGCGAUAGGCCAAGGCAACUUCCCUAUCCCCGAUUACAACAUCAUCACCGAGAAUAGCAUAAUUGCGAAAUCGGAUGCCAGGUUUCACCUUUUCUGCCGCUAGCCACACAACAAAGUGGUGGGACAAAGUGAAUAAAGGCCAAGAGGAAUACAACCCUAAAGGUUGCCCUGUAAAAAUGAAAUUGGAAGA